rnacentral:rRNA from 1 species
CGGGUGAGUAACACGUGAGUGACCUGCCUUUUAGACUGGAACAACUUACCGAAAGGUGAGCUAAUGCCAGAUGAGUUAUAUAAGUGCAUGUUUAUAUAGGAAAAGUUGGGGAGACCUGACGCUGAAAGAUGGACUCGCGUCCCAUUAGCUAGUUGGUAGGGUAAUGGCCUACCAAGGCGACGAUGGGUAGCCGGCCUGAGAGGGUGGCCGGCCACACUGGGACUGAGACACGGCCCAGACUCCUACGGAAGGCAGCAG